rnacentral:tRNA from 1 species
ACUUUUAAAGGAUAACAGCUAUCCACUGGUCUUAGGAACCAAAAACAUU